GCGGAGAUAGCUCAGUUGGUAGAGCACUAGCCUUCCAAGCUGGAUGUCGCGAGUUCGAGCCUCGUUCUCCGCUCCA
rnacentral:tRNA from 1 species